rnacentral:misc_RNA from 1 species
GAUGAAGAACGCAGCGAAAUGCGAUAAGUAGUGUGAAUUGCAGAAUUCAGUGAAUCAUCGAAUCUUUGAACGCACAUUGCGCCUUCUAGUAUUCUGGGAGGCAUGCCUGUUUGAGCGUCAUUAAACCUCUCUCAAGUAUGAUUACUUGGAUGUGAAGGAAGAGUACCUUAAACUUAAGGAGUGUUCUCCUUUGAAAUUGAUUAGCAGAUGGUAAUGUUAUUAAAUCCCUGAUGUUGUAAGAAAUAACAGUGGUUUUGUAGACUAUUAUCUAGCUUUAAAUUAUAAUUUUUAUUAUGGUUGACCUCAAAUCAGGUAAGGAUACCCGCUGAACUUAAGCAUAUCAAUAAGCGGAGGG